CAGCCGCCACGGUAAAACGUAGGGUGCAAGCGUUAAUCGGAAUUACUGGGCGUAAAGCGUGCGCAGGCGGUUAUAUAAGACAGAUGUGAAAUCCCCGGGCUCAACCUGGGAACUGCAUUUGUGACUGUAUAGCUAGAGUACGGCAGAGGGGGAUGGAAUUCCGCGUGUAGCAGUGAAAUGCGUAGAUAUGCGGAGGAACACCGAUGGCGAAGGCAAUCCCCUGGGCCUGUACUGACGCUCAUGCACGAAAGCGUGGGGAGCAAACAGGAUUAGAUACCCCUGUAGUCCCUGUCUCUUAUAU
rnacentral:rRNA from 1 species